GGUGGUGAAGCUGCCGGGUGACCGAGUGGUGGAGCCUGUUCGAGUGAGAAUGCAGGCAUGAGUAGCGAAUGACGGGUGAGAAACCCGUCCGCCGAAUGAUCAAGGGUUCCGGGGUCAAGCUAAUCUGCCCCGGGUGAGUCGGGACCUAAGGCGAGGCCGACAGGCGUAGUCGAUGGACAACGGGUUGAUAUUCCCGUACCGGCGAAGAACCGCCCAUACUGAACUGGGGAUACUAACCACCGGUUCCACCCGUUUCUCAUGCGCCACUUUGUGGUGUGUGGUUGUGGUGGGAUGCGUGGGACCUGAUCCAGGGAGGUAAGCGUGUUAACAGGUGUGACGCAGGAAGGUAGCCGAGCCAGGCGAUGGUAGUCCUGGUCUAAGCGUGUAGGGCGAGUCAUUGGUAAAUCCGUGGCUCAUAUAGCUUGAGACGUGAUGGGACCCCUUUGGUGGGGGAUUCGGUGAUCCUAUGCUGCCGAGAAAAGCAUCGACGUGAGGUUCUAGCCGCCCGUACCCCAAACCGACACAGGUGAUCAGGUAGAGAAUACUAAGGCGUUCGAGAGAAUCAUGGUUAAGGAACUCGGCAAAAUGCCCCCGUAACUUCGGGAGAAGGGGGGCCCGGACCCUGACAUGCCC
rnacentral:rRNA from 1 species